GCUUGGACGGAACGGCAGUUCAGCUUCAGUGUGGCUUCAGCGAUCGGAGCGGCGACAUCAGGAGCGUCAUCGGUAGCAAUGCAGGUUCCUCACAGCGAAGAUGAAGAGAGUACGAUGACCAUUGUGUAAUAAAACCGAAUCAGGACAUUAACAAUUCUCUCCAGAGAUCGACUCCUUUUGAUCCUGUUCCGGUAGACAUGGAUCUGCAACACAUGAGACGUUCAAGUUUUCCUUUUACAGAGGUCGCAGUUCUUCCAACGUCAUUGCCCGGACUCCCCCUG
rnacentral:lncRNA from 1 species